rnacentral:tRNA from 1 species
UCCCUGGUGGUCCAGUGGUUAAGACUCUGAGCUUCCACUGCAGAGGGAGCAGGUUCAAUCCCUGGUCGGGGAA